AGGCUCUCCCUACCCUCAAACUCUCUCUUUUCUUUCCGAUAUGUUACCUAGCCGAAUGGGGGAGGCGUUGGCCAUCAAAGAUGACCAAGCCUCAUUGGAGCCGGCGGUGAUGGAAGAAGGACGCACAUAUCUCUUUUUGGUGGUGCUGCUAUUUGACUAAUCCAGCAAUGCUUGAUUCAGAUUGGUUCAUGGAUGCGAUGGCAAACAUCUGGCCAAUGAAGGGGAAGGUGACAAUCUAGGAAUGACCUGACAACUGUUUUCAAAACCCGUGAACAAUCAGUGGGUUUUCUCAAAAGGACUGUGGUUCUUCAAAUCUUCCAUGGUGGUGCUUGGGGAUUACGACAGGCUCGACGAUGUUCAACAGGUGCGUCUCAAUUAGCUCCUGAUUUGGGUGGAGGUGCAUGGUGUUCCACCGGCUUUCUUGUUGGCCUACUAGAUCGCCGAAUUGAUGGGCCAUCGAGAGAUACUUGUAUGUUGACCAGCGUCGACUUAAUCGAGACAAUAUGAUGCAGGUGCUGGUGGUGAUGGAUGUGGGAUUGUUUUUUUGCUGCUAGGAUAUUUUGUGGGAGGCUGGACUAUAGAGAGGUAGAUUUCUGA
rnacentral:lncRNA from 1 species